rnacentral:rRNA from 1 species
UACGAAGGGUGCAAGCGUUACUCGGAAUUACUGGGCGUAAAGCGUGCGUAGGUGGUUUGUUAAGUCUGUUGUGAAAGCCCCGGGCUCAACCUGGGAAUGGCAAUGGAUACUGGCAGGCUAGAGUGCGGUAGAGGGUAGUGGAAUUCCCGGUGUAGCGGUGAAAUGCGUAGAGAUCGGGGAGGAACACCAGUGGCGAAGGCGGCUACCUGGACCAGCACUGACACUGAGGCACGGAAAGCGUGGGGAGCAAACAGG